GGGAGUUGUAGUUCUUCCACCUCGCGGGCUCCGUUUCCGGGCGGUUUCCCAGUAGUUUUAGCCCGGCGUGCAGCCUGGCCUAGUACGCCUCCGGCGGCGCUUUGCUUGGAGGUUGCUGCUGUUACUGUAGGGAUGUGUUUGAUGCUGGUCCAUGCAUUUGGCGACACACCCUGGAGACUCUCUUGGAUACGGACACCAUUAACGUCAAACGGAGAGUUUUAGAGCAAUCAAGAGUGACCACUGUUUACCGAGCACGUUCUCUGAAGCACGCACUGCGCUACGUGCUCUCAAUAAUUAGCCACAUUCAUUUAAUCCUAUGAAGUCGGAAUUAUUUAGUCUUAUUUUACAGAUGACACUACAGGCCAACAAAAAAGCUCAUAAUUUUUUUGGAAGAAUUCUCUGCUGUUCUGGGAGCCAAUUACACCUUGGAAGACCAUAAGAGAGCUUGACAGAGCAGAUAAGGAGUCACCAGCAUAUAAAUGGAAAUUGAAGGUAUGGGAAUUGAUGAGCUCACCCAUCAGAUGUAUAUAGAGUGAGAACAACAAGUCCUUGGAGAGGCAGCUGAGAACAGCAAUUGACUGGCAAUUGACACUGAGAAGGAACAGCCAAAAAGGCUAGCGAUAUGUGGCAGGAUCCUCUUUUGUGAUGUGGGUAGUGGCAAUGAGCCACAGCUUCUAGCCAGCCAUGAUUGCAAAGGGACUUUUAUGAUCACAUUGGGUCCAACUGGACAAUCCAGGACAUUCUCCCCAAAUCUGGUUGAAGGGAGGUCCAAGACUGGUAUGGUAGCUCAACACCACCACCAACUGACCCUUCUGUCUUGCUGUAUACCAUACUUGCCAAUGACUGGUCAGACUCCAGAAUCAUGCAUGUGUUCCAGGCAAGAAGCAUGAAAUGGAAGAGGCGGUACCAUAAAUAGUAUUCAGCUUACAUUUCAUUUGCCAGAACUGAGUUAUAGGACCACCUCUAAUGGCAAGGACAUCUGAGAAGGUCUUCCUCCAAGGUGGCACUGAUUACAUCAAUAUGCUCAGUGAUGAUUUUCUUCAUUUCUCAUUAUAAUAUUAUCCUCAAGAGGAGGCUCAUCUCUUUGGUAACCAGUGCAUGCCUGGGGAGUCCUGCUUUGUGGAGCCUUUUACCUAU